GAUGAACGCUGGCGGCGUGCCUAAUACAUGUAAGUCGAGCGAAUGGAUUAAGAGCUUGCUCUUAUGAAGUUAGCGGCGGACGGGUGGGUAACACGUGGGUAACCUGCCCAUAAGACUGGGAUAACUCCGGGAAACCGGGGCUAAUACCGGAUGACAUUUUGAACCGCAUGGUUCGAAAUUGAAAGGCGGCUUCGGCUGUCACUUAUGGAUGGACCCGCGUCGCAUUAGCUAGUUGGUGAGGUAACGGCUCACCAAGGCAACGAUGCGUAGCCGACGUGAGAGGGUGAUCGGCCACACUGGGACUGAGACACGGCACAGACUCCUACGGGAGGCAGCAGUAGGGAAUCUUCCGCAAUGGACGAAAGUCUGACGGAGCAACGCCGCGUGAGUGAUGAAGGCUUUCGGGUCGUAAAACUCUGUUGUUAGGGAAGAACAAGUGCUAGUUGAAUAAGCUGGCACCUUGACGGUACCUAACCAGAAAGCCACGGCUAACUACGUGCCAGCCGCCGCCGUAA
rnacentral:rRNA from 1 species